UUCUGGAAGGAUGGGGCCCAGCACUCACAGCCUGGGCUAGCUGCCUGAGAGUAGAGAGUGGCAGGUGAGGGCUCUGAACCUUACUGUGUGCUGCCCAAGGAGCACCUAGGGCUGCCAAGAGGCCCAGGGAGGAGCCUUGAGACCUGACUGGGAAAGGCUUUUCUCCCCGCAGAGGACCACUGCUCAGGCUCAGCGGCCAUGGGGCAGAGCCCAUACAAAAGUGGGCAUCCAGUCAUGCUCUAAGCCCCCUGAAGAAGAAGACCAGGGAGCAGCUUCCUCUGAUGAAGCAGCAGUGAUCAGGGGACAGGAGGCUGAAGCCGUGAGCCCAGCAGAGUCAGGAACAGCCAAGUCUGGGACAGGCUUCAAUUAUUUUAGGGACAUGUCCAACCUGUAAAACCCACCUGUUCUGUCACCCUCAGCUUCUGGUGUCUACUUUCUAGACUGAAGGCAAUACUGGAAAGGUCGGAUUCAAGGGCUUUCAGAUUGACCACCCAUGAAUAUGGGGCUGCGACCCCUAAGGAGGACCUCAGGUGUCUUUUCCCAAGCGAACGUUCUGGAUCUGCCCUUUCUGCGGCUCACCUCCCCAGCCGGUCUUUUGGCUUCAUCUUUGAUUGCUGGCUCUUGUGCUAUUGGAUCAGUGGGGACAUCUAUCUUCUGUCUUCAAACAUCAGAGUUUCUGGUUCCUGGGCCUUUGGACUUGGACUAGAACUUUACUACCAGCUGUCCUGGUUCCCUAGCUUGUGGACAGCAGAGCGUAGAACUUCUUAGCCUCCAUAAUCACUGCUGAAAACAACAUACUCUCCACUCUAAAGGAGCCAGAACCCCAGUGCGAGUGAUGAUAUAAGGAAGAUGCAUCCAGUGCUUAGAGGAGGACAGCCAAACAGCAAAACACAACCGUAAAUGCUGUCUUCAUAGCAAAAGGACUAUAGAAAGAGGAAACAAUGAACCCAAAGAUGUAGAAGUAGCUAAAUCCCAAACCACUGUUUGUUCAUCAAAAGACAAAUACUAUCAUCUCUACCUCCAACACAAAGAAAGUGUCAAUCCAUGGACUGGCUCCUCUCAGGAUAAUUUGGUGUCUCAAGUGUGAAGUCUUUUCACUGGAGCUUGAGAUGAAGGAGAAGAGGGAAUUCUAACAGUAUCCCAUCAUGCACCUGCCCUGACCAUCUCCCACCUAUUCUGGACCUACUCUUGACUAACAGUCACACGGUGUAGGGAAUCGAGUACAGAAAGCAGAGGAUGUGCUGGUUCUCUUUCCUGAGCCAGUAACUAACCACCUGACAGGAGGCAAGUCAUUUCUGCCAAAAAUUAUAAUAGCCAUCAUCUACUGAAAUUCUUAUGUGCCCCCUACUCUGAAAAUCCUUGAGAUAAAGAUGGAUUUACUUAUGCCCCUCCUUUAGUGACUACCAAAGUGCAGAUAGUUGGCGCUCAAAAUACAUUCAUUGAAUGUACAAUUGGGAUCAUUCUUUUUUCCUCUUUUUUUUUUGCCUGCUUCAUCUUUCCUUCAUAUAAAAUUGGGAUAAUUCUGCCUUGCCCAUGUUGUAGGGUUUUUAUAAAGAUUAAAUGAGUGCAUUUCUAUAAAAAGUCUUUGAGGUUGUAAAAUAUGCAAAUGUAAGGAAUCCACCUGUUUUGGGUCUAGGAAAAAAGUAGAAAAAAGAAGAAAUGAGAAAGAUAAAAGAGAGCUGGGAGUGAGGCAGGCAGCUAUAUUUGAAUGCAAUCUGAAGCCACUCGGAGGUGAAGGAAAGAGAUUUAAAUCGCUGCAAGAAUUUGAAGGCCACCUCCCACACAGCCUAUCAGUCUUUCAGUGACUGUUCUUCAAGACCUACUCAAAGACAGUCUGUCCUAUGAGCAGCUUUAGGGUACUGGGGAAAAGAAUUAUGACUGUCACAUCGUAUGAUGAAAUACCAAGUAGCAUUUCAAAGGUCAUGCUCCAGAAAGUCUGUUAAUGAGAUGGGGAAAAUGCUUAAGCAUAAAUUACAUAAUUUAAAAAAUAAAGCAGUUGAGAUCUUAAUUUUGUGAAAAAAAAGAAAAAUAUAUAUAUGUAUAAUAAAAAAGCGAUAAGAAAAGACUGAGAAGAGAUGUAUCAAUGUUACCAGUAAUAUACUAUGUCAUUUUAAUUGUCUUUUUAAUAUAUAUGCAUAGUUUAUAUACUCUUCAAUGAAUAAGUGAAUAAUUGAAAAUAUAACUGUGUGUGUGUUUGUGUAAACAUAUUCUAUUCUUCACUGUUCUAUCCAGGAACUGAUUUAGAUCUGAAUCAAUUGUUCCAAGAACCAAAAUCACCAGGAACUGAAUCACAUUCAAUCACCUUGAACCAAGUCCCAAUUUGAAAAAAUGAGACCUAUAAUUCAGCUUUUCGGUUUUGUCAGCUAUAAGGCUAGAUUGGGCUCUUUCCCCUUCAGCCCUGGAGGUUAGAUACCUGUCCCACGAUUGCUCUUCUUCUAAUAGCUGUGUGCUUUCAGACAUGUCACUGCCCCUCUCUGGGCCUCCCUCCUGUGCUGUAAAAUGAUGGGGCUGCAAUCAGGGCCACCUGGGCAGUUGUUAUGCCACUCAUGACUUUCUCCUGGCUCUUUUCCUCUGUGUUUGGUUUUUUCCAUUUUACUGACCCUUACAAUUCUUCCCAAGGAAAAGAAGUGAAACGCAAAUGAGUUUUUUGAGUUUUUGUUGACACUUCUAACUGCAGGUUGGAAGGCUCCAGGGUCUUUGGCCCUGGUGGGGUAGGUUCUGCUCGCUGGGGAAUCAGGCCUGAGCUGGCUCUGAUCCCUCUCCCUUCUCCUAAUCACUGUCCUGGCUGCAGAACUCUAGGCUGGCACCAGAACAGCAGCCAACAUUUGGCUGACACAGGACAUAAUUUUUAAUCAUGGGAAGGCAGACAUAAGUACAACAGGCCUCUUUUUUUCAUGCAGGUUCAAGUAUCUGCUUUGGGGUUAGGUCUGUCUGUAUUUGGCAGGGCGGGUCCUGGGGAAGUUCUGGUAUUCGUGACCGAAAGGCCAGUCUCCUUCCUUUUUCAGGAAUGGAAGCAGCACAAAUUGUUCUGAUCAGGGAGCAAUAACACGCCACGACCCCCAGGGCUCCCAGGCAGGCGGAGGGGGCACCCAGUCUCAGCAGCCCACGACCUGCUCGCCCCCACGAGCCGCAUGCCUCACAUUUCCCCAGCUCCAGCCUCCUUUCAAAGGCCCUUUAUUAAACCACCAACUAUUUGCUGUCGAGACAUUUAGGAUGAAAUCAUUGUGUUAAACAAAUAAACGCAGCUUCGUCCAGAUUUCUGCUCUGGGAGCAGAGUAAGAAAAUAAUUUCUGUCUGCUCACCACAAAAGCGGCUGGAAAGGUCCAAAGAAAAAUAUUAUUUUUACUCCAUUGUGUGAAAUAUUGUCCUGGAGGAUCUGACCGGCUGAGCGUUUGAAGAGUUUGUGCUGGCAGGUUUCAAGGGUCCCCUGGGUCGGCCCCCUGGGAUUGUUUUCUGCAUUAAUAAACUUAGCAUGAUGUGUGUUAAAA